CAUGUAGGUGGAUCAAUAAGUCUGCUGUGAAAGUCGAAGGCUCAACCUUCGAAAGCCGGUGGAUACUGUUGAUCUAGAGUACGGAAGAGGCGAGUGGAAUUCCUGGUGUAGCGGUGGAAUGCGCAGAUAUCAGGAGGAACACCAAUAGCGAAGGCAGCUCGCUGGGACGUAACUGACACUGAGACGCGAAAGCGUGGGAGCAAACA
rnacentral:rRNA from 1 species